CUUCACCACCAGCCGCUGGUAACAGGAGACCCUGGCCUCUGAUUUAUGGCCCAUUUGGAAGGAGGCCUCGGAGCAAUUACUUGUUGGAUUGAGCCAGGCGAGGGGCUAGAGCUUUGCAAAGCGGAAAGCAGCCCCUGGCUGGCAGCGCUUUCUCCCCAGGAAGACAGGGACUAUCCACUCAGGAUCCAACAUAUCAGAGGAGGACUCCAGGAAGUCAUUCUACCACCUCUGCCUCCCUGCUGACGAAUCCGAUAUUUGGUUGAACAUUCCUACUUCAAAAUUCCAAAAUCUGAAGCAGUCCAAAAUCUGAAACUUUUGGGGCACUGACAUGAAGCCACAAAUAGAAAAUUCCACAUACUCCUUGGAUUUCGUGGUCCCAGGCUGAGAAAGCUUGGGGUAGAGAAAUAGGGCUGAGGGCAAAUCGCUGGCUGCAGCCGUGCUGUGGAAGCAAUGUGCCAGAAACCCUGACAAUGAACCGCUGUCUCUGACUAAUUGUUCUAGUGGAGAUGUCUCCUGUUUGACUUGAUUUUAAACUGUGGAGCACGUCAAGAGAAAGCUCACUGAUCUGCCGAGGGUUUGUGCUUUUCUGUCUUCAUGCAUCUGUUGUGGGUGAAGAGAGCAAAGAUUCUUCAUUCAAUCAAAGGCCCCCUUUGGAGAUGCUGAGAAGGAAAUUUCCUUUGGAAAUUCCCAAAGGUAGGUUCUUUGGGGAAGUGAGAACUCUGCUGCUUCAACCUUAGCCCAGCCUGCCCUCCUGGUGGGAAAGACCAGCCGUGUCUUGGCUUCCAAAGAACCAGGAGACAGAAGGAAUUUAUGGCUGGAAGCCCAGCAUGGUCGUGUCCCCUGGGCCCAGUUGCUUCCCCUCUGUGGUUUCCAUAUCUAUGUGUUAAGAGAAAGCAUCUGAAACUUUGAAAUAAGGAAGAAGAUGACUGCGUGUCCUUUGAAUGCCACAUUAAAGCACUGUCAGACAGGCCCUGCCCAAUGGCAAUUUAAUUCUUCAGGGCACGGGCCAAAUCUGGCUGCUGCCUGUUUUUGUAAAUAAAGUUCUAUUGGAACACAGCCA
rnacentral:lncRNA from 10 species